GCAGUAUAAAAGAUCACGCUGCCCUGGGCUCUGUAACAUCAGUUUCAGCAGAGGGAAGAAGAGAGAGGAAGGGAGUAUUCUAUCUGCCCUGUGUCAUCUUGCUUUGGAAGGCAGUGAGUAGAGUCUGUGAUACAGGUGAGGUGGUGACUGUCCUGAAUCGGUGCUUGGGUGCAGUAAUGGACUAGAUGAGGGUGCAUAAGCUGAGACUCAGUCCAGAUCUAUAUGCACACACCGUGCAGAAGCUGCAAAGGAAAGUAGGUGCUGCAACCAAUUAAACCACUAAGACGAGAGAAAAGCACACACAGAGAAACCUCAAUCAAGAUAGCAAAAGAACCUGUUCUUUAAUGACAAUGCAGCUUGCCUCACCAACCCAAGGUCUGAAUCCAAAUUGUGAUUUUGUAAACUACAGGAGCACUGCUGGAAAGGCACAAACAUGCGGUUGGUGACAGCCAAAGUUUCACCCAUGAAAUACCCGUUUGUAACCAUAAGGAAAUCUACCGCUAUCCUUAUGAGUACAGUGCUUAUAUGGGGAAAUUGGGGGGGUGGUGCUAAUUUGGUCAUAUGUGCUUGCCUUAGCAGAUUCCCACUCCUCUUGGAAAGAGAGAGGAAGAAAAGACUCAAUCCCACCUUUG